rnacentral:lncRNA from 1 species
CUGAAAGCUGCUGGUUUUUCAUACUUUGACACAUGUGAGUUCAAUUCUUACCCUUUUCUUUGAGAUUUUUAUGUUUUUGUGACUUUUAUAAUUAGGUCCAAGUGUUUAAUUCAUUAGUUUUUGAUUUUAUGAACAAAAUUAAAAGCUAUCAUUGAUAAGUGUUAGCUGUUUAUGAUGAAAUAAAAUGAAUUUGAAGCUUUGAUUUUGUUGUUUGAUGAUUUUAUCAAGUAAUUUUAAUAGAAAUUGAUUUUAGGACCUAAUUGUGAAAAAGUUGUGAAUUAAGGUUUAGUGUUAAAAUUAUGAUUUUUAAAGAUUGUGUAAUAGUUUAGAAUGAUGGAAUAAAAUGUUAAUUGAGAAAAAUUAGCUUAAUAGAUGGACUAAUUGAGCAAGGACUGAAUUGUAUGACCUUUGAAAUUUAGAGGAAAAAUGGUAAUAAAGAUCUUGAACUAAAACAAUAUUGGACAGCAGAAGUAGACUAACUUUGAAAAAUCACCAUAAAUUGUAGAAAUCGAAUUAGAAGAUGAAUAAAAUAUGAAAUUAAAGCUUAUUGAGUCUAGUUUUUCAUAGAAGAAAUGGUGUAAGCAAUGGAUUUGUAAAUUAUGAGAUAUAAUGAAUUUUGUGAGACAAUGUUAGAAUGAAUUCGGGUUCCCCUGUUUUGACUUUGGAAAAUCACCAAAAAUUGGAUAAAAUUAAUUAGAGUCUCAAAUUUAUAUGCUUAGAAUUCUUAAUGAGUAUAUUUUCAAUAGAAAUCAAUGGGAACAUUAUCCGAGUUUUGUACUGUGAUAUAAUUAAUUUUUAGUGAAGAGAGGUCAGAACUGUUGGAUAGUGAAACAGGGGAAACUUAAAUGAAUAAAAUGUACUAAUUGGCUAAAUAAAAAAUUAUUAAAAUUUUAUGGUGGAAUGAUAUGUGAGUCUAGUUUUAGGGAAAAUUUACGGAUCUUAAUUUUGAGCUCUGUAGCUCGAAAUAAUUGAGUGACUAUGACUCGUGUGAACAGAUUGAUGUGAGCAUUAAUAAGUAAAUUGUGAAAUCGUACUUACAAGAAUGUUAUAUACAUUAAGGAUGUGGAAUGGAGAGGAGGAGGAGGAAAAAUAUAUAUGAAUAUUCAGUUAGCAUGGCUAAUUUGCAUGUUUUAAGCUCAUGGACUAAAUUGAAUAAAAGUAAAACUUUAGGGGGUAAUUUUGUAAAAAUGUCAAAAAUGACUAAAUUGAAGGGAAUAAAUUGUUUUAUUAUCUAAAUUAACAAAUUUAAUGAAAUUAUCAAUUUAAUAUUGGGUGAAAUUUGGGAAAAUGGUAAAUUACCAAUAUGCCCCUAAAUCUUGGUAUUUCUGCAAUUUAUUCAGGUAGGUUCGGAUAUCCUGAAUGAGCAUGUAAAUAUGAAAAUUUAAGUAUUGUAUCGUAUUUUAUAUGAUAUUUUGAAUUGAAUAUAUGAAAAGGAUGUUACAUGGAACAUGAAAAUGAAUACUAAAUAAUAUAAAUUAAUUGAAAUUAUUCUGAAAAUUUCGGUAAUGCCUCGUAUCCUAUCCCGGUCUCAGGUACAAGUAUGGGAUAUUAUAGAAUGUACCCUUAUUGUAUAUGUUUAUGUUAUUAUUAUUAUAAGGUUAAAUAGGUAAAAUAUGUUAAAAGUUAACAUAUAAUAUAUUAAAAAAAAACCAUGCAUUCAUACUUGUUCUUGCCGAAACUUGAGAAAGAAAGAAAGAAAAUUUAGCUUAGGGUAUUCGGCACUUUGGAAGCUUGAUUCAAGGUUAGUUUUUGUUCGGUUUUUUUUUAUAAUUUUUAUGUUUUUGAGAUCGCUGCUUCGAAUACUAUCUGACCCAUGUUUAAAUUUUUUAUUUUGAUGUGUAUUUUGAGUUAUGCCAUUGAUGAAUAUUUGUGUUUUGUGAUGUUUGAUGAUGAAAUGUUAAAAAUAUGUUUUAGAUUAACAUGUUUUGUAUUUGAAUUUUUGAAGAUUUUGAGUAAUUAGGACUAAAUUGCAAAAAUAAUAAAUUGAGGGACUAAAAUGUGAAAUAGAUGAAAUAAAUGGAUUAGUACGAGUAUAUAAAAGAUUCGGCUCAACUAUGUUGUAGUGAGAUUUUGUGUAAUUUGUGUUUUAUGCAAUUAGGACUAAUUUGUAAAAAUAUGAAAUAUCAGGGGUAAAAUGGUAAUUUUCCCAUUCAUGUGUUGUUGGAUUAAAUUGAAUGAAAUUGUAUUUAAAUGAGGUUAAUUUGAAAUUUUAUAGAUCAAGAACAAAAGAAACCGGACUUGGAUCGGGGAAAAACAAAAAUAGUCGAAUAGCCGAUUCGUAACGUCCGUCGAUAUCCGAGGUAAGUUCUUAAGCAAUUAAACAUGGUUUAUUUUGAACAUAAAAUUAUUUACUAUGAUGAUUCAAAUUUUAUAAUGUAUUAAUUGAUAGCCGAAUGAUAUAUGUAAAUGAAUUAAUGUGAUUAAGUUGUAUUUGAAUGAUAUCGAAGCCUCUGAAAAUGUGUAUGUGUUACAUGGAAUAUUAUACGAUUUGAUAUAUGUGAAAUGAUGUGGAAUGAUUUUUGUAUUUGUGAUAUUCGGGCCUUGAGCCGAGCAAGCCUUGUGCUGGUGACUUUGAUCGGGCUUUGUGCCUAGCAGGCUUUGUGCCUAGCAGGCUUAGUGCCAGUGAAUAAAUAUCAAACUUCGAGUCUAGCAGGCCUUGUGCCGGUGUGUGAUUCAGGUUUAUGCCUAGCAGGUUUAUACCAGUGAUUUGUUUUCAAGUUUAAGAUGAUGAGAAUUCAAGUUAUUGUGGAUAUUGAGCAAAUGAAAUUGAGCUAAAUUGCAUUAUAUAUAUUUGGCUAAAAAUGUAAGUACAAGUGAGCUUAUAUUGAACUUGAAUAUUCGGUUAUAUAUGAAGUUAUCUUAUAUGUGCAUAUUCGGCCAUAAGUGAUGUUAUAUUGAAUUUGAACUACAGGUUAUAUGUGAUGUUUUAUUUAACUCAUAAAUUGGCCACAUAUGAAGAUAUAAUGAAUCUUGUGUAUUUGGCCAUAUAUGUAAGUGACUAUGUGAUGAAAGAUUUGAUCUUGUAUAGUCGGCUUAUAUGAAAUAUUUAUCUGGUAUUAUAUAAUUGGUUGUGAACAUUUGGCCAAGGUAAUUUAUUAAGAUGAAGUAUAAUAUUAUGGAUAUAAUUUGGUUAGGUUGAAUGUUUUGAUUAUUCAUUGAGUUGCUUAAUUUGCUUAAGGCUUACUAAGCUAAGUUAGCUUACUCUGUGUGUUUUUGUUACUUUGUUUUAUAGAUUUUGCUUGUAAGUUACGAGCUCGGGGAUCGUGAACGAAGUCAUCCACACUAUCGUCAACUUUUGGUAUUUUUCAAAGUUUAUCUUCAAACUUUUGGCAUGUAU